GGUAGAAAGUAGUGCACUAGGGUCCUGGUAGAAAGUAGUGCACUAGGGUCCUGGUAGAAAGUAGUGCACUAGGGUCCUGGUAGAAAGUAGUGCACUAGGGUCCUGGUAGAAAGUAGUGCACUAGGAUCCUGGUAGAAAGUAGUGCUCUAGGGUCCUGGUAGAAAGUAGUGCACUAGGGGCCUGGUAGAAAGUAGUGCACUAGGGGUCUGGUAGAAAGUAGUGCACUAUUAACGGAAUAUGGUGCCAUUUGUGACUCAUGCUACAUGUGCCGAUGUCUCUUUAGAUAAAUAUCUUAUAUUUUUACAACAUGUCCUUUGUUGUCCAAUGGAACAAUGAUGAAUUAGUUUUAGCAUGUUUCCAACCAGGGAAAGAAGAAACUGUAGAUAAUUGCCAUGAUUAAAUCAGUCAUGAGAUGUUCAGGGGUUAUUUCAGGUCAGACUCACUAGAUGGUGACUAUAGUAGCUGCUAUUAUUUGUCCUGUUCUUCACACUUGUACAUGUGUUUCUCACAUAUCCCAACACCCACAGAGAGCUGGGGUCUUUAGACAGGGUCAGACAUUAUCAACACCCACAGAGAGCUGGGGUCUUUAGAUAGGGUCAGACAUUAUCAACACCCACAGAGAGCUGGGGUCUUUAGACAGGGUCAGACAUUAUCAACACCCACAGAGAGCUGGGGUCUUUAGACAGGGUCAGACAUUAUCAACACCCACAGAGAGCUGGGGUCUUUAGACAGGGUCAGACAUUAUCAACGCCCACAGAGAGCUGGGGUCUUUAGACAGG